GGCGAGUGAAGCGGCAACAGCUCAAAUUUGAAAUCUGGCUCUCUUUGGGGGUCCGAGUUGUAAUUUGCAGAGGAUGCUUUGGCAUUGGCGGCGGUCUAAGUUCCUUGGAACAGGACAUCGCAGAGGGUGAGAAUCCCGUACGUGGGCGCCUGCCUUUGCCGUGUAAAGCUCCUUCGACGAGUCGAGUUGUUUGGGAAUGCAGCUCUAAAUGGGAGGUAAAUUUCUUCUAAAGCUAAAUACCGGCCAGAGACCGAUAGCGCACAAGUAGAGUGAUCGAAAGAUGAAAAGUACUUUGGAAAGAGAGUCAAAAAGCACGUGAAAUUGUUGAAAGGGAAGCGCUUGCAGCCAGACUUGCCCGCAGUUGCUCACCUAGGCUUUGGCCUGGGGCACUCUUCUGCGGGCAGGCCAGCAUCAGUUUGGGCGGUUGGAUAAAGGCCUCUGUCACGUAUCUUCCUUCGGGAUGACCUUAUAGGGGAGGCGUAAUGCAACCAGCCCGGACUGAGGUCCGCGCAUCUGCUAGGAUGCUGGCGUAAUGGCUGUAAGCGGCCCGUCUUGAAACACGGACCAAGGAGUCUAACAUCUAUGCGAGUGUUUGGGUGUCAAGCCCGGGCGCGCAAUGAAAGUGAACGGAGGUGGGAACCCUUUGGGUGCACCAUCGACCGAUCCUGAUGUCUUCGGAUGGAUUUGAGUAAGAGCAUAGCUGUUGGGACCCGAAAGAUGGUGAACUAUGCUUGAAUAGGGUGAAGCCAGAGGAAACUCUGGUGGAGGCUCGCAGCGGUUCUGACGUGCAAAUCGAUCGUCAAA
rnacentral:rRNA from 1 species